rnacentral:rRNA from 1 species
GACGAACGCUGGCGGCGUGCUUAACACAUGCAAGUCGAACGGAAAGGCCCUGCUUGCAGGGUACUCGAGUGGCGAACGGGUGAGUAACACGUGGGUGAUCUGCCCUGCACUUCGGGAUAAGCCUGGGAAACUGGGUCUAAUACCGGAUAGGAGCCAUUUUUAGUGUGAUGGUUGGAAAGUUUUUUCGGUGUAGGAUGAGCUCGCGGCCUAUCAGCUUGUUGGAGGGGUAAUGGCCUACCAAGGCGGCGACGGGUAGCCGGCCUGAGAGGGUGGACGGCCACAUUGGGACUGAGAUACGGCCCAGACUCCUACGGGAGGCAGCAGUGGGGAAUAUUGCACAAUGGGCGCAAGCCUGAUGCAGCGACGCCGCGUGGGGGAUGACGGCCUUCGGGUUGUAAACUCCUUUCGCUAGGGACGAAGCUUUUUGUGACGGUACCUAGAGAAGAAGCACCGGCUAACUACGUG